UGCGUAGGCGGAUUAAUAAGUCAGUGGUGAAAUCUUUCGGCUCAACCGAGAAACUGCCAUUGAUACUGUUAAUCUUGAGUUCGGUUGAGGUAGGCGGAAUGUGUAAUGUAGCGGUGAAAUGCUUAGAUAUUACACAGAACACCAAUUGCGUAGGCAGCUUACUAGACUGACACUGACGCUGAGGCACGAAAGCGUGGGGAGCGAACAGGAUUAGAUACCCUGGUAGUC
rnacentral:rRNA from 1 species